CCUACGGGAGGCAGCAGUAGGGAAUCUUCCACAAUGGGCGAAAGCCUGAUGGAGCAACGCCGCGUGGGUGAAGAAGGUCUUCGGAUCGUAAAACCCUGUUGUUAGAGAAGAAAGUGCGUGAGAGUAACUGUUCACGUUUCGACGGUAUCUAACCAGAAUGCCACGGCUAACUACGUGCCAGCAGCCGCGGUGAUACGUAGGUGGCAAGCGUUAUCCGGAUUUAUUGGGCGUAAAGGGAACGCAGGCGGUCUUUUAAGUCUGAUGUGAAAGCCUUCGGCUUAACCGGAGUAGUGCAUUGGAAACUGGGAGACGUGAGUGCAGAAGAGGAGAGUGGAACUCCAUGUGUAGCGGUGAAAUGCGUAGAUAUAUGGAAGAACACCAGUUGCGAAAGCGGCUCUCUGGUCUGUAACUGACGCUGAGGUUCGAAAGCGUGGGUAGCAAACAGGAUUAGAUACCCGGGUAGUC
rnacentral:rRNA from 1 species